rnacentral:rRNA from 1 species
CAAUAGCGUAUAUUAAAGUUGUUGCAGUUAAAAAGCUCGUAGUUGGAUUUCUGGUUGAAGCGACCGGUCGGGCGUUGAUUCGUCUGCACUGGAGUCGGUUUUGGCCAUCCUCUAGGAAAGUGCGUCUGGUAUUAAGUUAUCGGGCGUAUGAUCCUGGUCUUUUACUGUGAAAAAAUUAGAGUGUUUAAAGCAGGCCUUCGCCUUGAAUACAUUAGCAUGGAAUAAUAAGAUAGGACUUUGGUCUAUUUUGUUGGUUUGCAGACCGAAGUAAUGAUUAAUAGGGAUAGUUGGGGGUAUUUAUAUUCCGAUGUCAGAGGUGAUAUUCUUAGAUUUUCGGAAGAUAAACUUAUGCGAAAGCAUUUACCAAGGAUGUUUUCAUUA